rnacentral:rRNA from 1 species
GGCGGCAGGCUUAACACAUGCAAGUCGAGCGCCUGUAGCAAUACAGGAGCGGCAGACGGGAGAGUAACACGUGGGAACAUGCCCUUCGGUUCGGAAUAACUCAGGGAAACUUGAGCUAAUACCGGAUACGUCCGUAAGGAGAAAGUUUUAUCGCCGAAGGAUUGGCCCGCGUCCGAUUAGCUAGUUGGUGAGGUAAUGGCUCACCAAGGCGACGAUCGGUAGCUGGUCUGAGAGGAUGAUCAGCCUCAUUGGGACUGAGACACGGCCCAAACUCCUACGGGAGGCAGCAGUGGGGAAUAUUGGACAAUGGGCGCAAGCCUGAUCCAGCCAUGCCGCGUGGGUGAUGAAGGCCUUAGGGUUGUAAAGCCCUUUCGGCGGGGAAGAUAAUGACGGUACCCGCAGAAGAAGCCCCGGCUAACUUCGUGCCAGCAGCCGCGGUAAUACNAAGGGGGCUAGCGUUGCUCGGAAUCACUGGGCGUAAAGCGCACGUAGGCGGACUCUUAAGUCGGUGGUGAAAUCCUGGAGCUCAACUCCAGAACUGCCUUCGAUACUGGGA